GCCUAGCGCCCGCGCCCUGGGACGUCCGGGGGCCUGUGACCCGGAGGCGCUGGGGCUGUCCUGGGUCGUCACAUGCGAGAAAUCGUCUCACCCCAGCCAGUGUGACGGAGUGAGAGCAAAAGAAAGUUUUGAUAGCAGCGUACGAUUUAUAUUCAGCUGUAUGCUGGGCAGGUCCAACUUGGCAUUUCUUGGCUGUAUCUCUGAAGGAAAGUCAUCUUAAUCUCUAUGAGCCUCCAUUUCCUCAGCUGUAAAAUGGGAAGAUCUUCCUCACACUGCUGUGGUGAGGAGAGGAAAUGGCAGCCUAACUCCAGGCAGGGCCCGGGCUCAGAAGGGGGUCUACAGGGCUGAAGAGGCAGCUGGCCAGAGAUUCCACAGGAAGCAUCUUGUUGACACAUCUUCAUCACUUUGGAAUUUGAGCAACAACAUUUACCCCUUCUGAAACUCACCCAGAGGAAGCGGAUUUUCUGACGCAUAUGAAGAGUGAGAACUGUCUACAUCUAAGUCUUCUUUGAGAACAAUACCAGCUGAGCGGCUAUUUACAUUCCAGCUUCUUUUGAGAAUCUCUGAAGAUGAUUAAGUCAUUGUCAGCUGGCCCAGAACCAUAUCCUGCUCCACAAGCCUCGUCCUUGGCAAGAAGUUGCACCUGCCCAGAGAGAAAACCUUUUGAAACUGGCACAAAGGCACUGGAGAGACUGGCAGGGCCCCCUACUUGACGAUCUGGCUCAUCCAUCUGCACACUGACCACGCUAAGAGCUGUCUGCAGUGAUGGAAACCUUCUCUAGCUGUGCUGUCCUCUAUAGUGGCACCAGCUGCCUGUGGCUACUGAGCACUUCAACUGUGGCUGCAGAGACUAUGUUAAAUUGUAUUUAAUCAUAAUUAAUUUAAUUGUAAACAACUACAUGUGGCUAGUGGUUUCUGUACUGGGCACUGCAGGUGCACAUUUCCUGCUGGCCAUGGACAGUAAGCUCCAUAAGAGACUAAUUGUGCCUGGUUUGCUUAUAGGCUUAUCCUCAGCACCUGCACCAGCCUAGAAUAUGAUUGGCACUCUAUUAAUUAAAAGUUCCCAGGUAAAUGAAUUAGUGGAUUCUCUGUUUCCUCCACUAUGCCACAACCUCCUUAAGGGCAGAGAUGGUGUCUUCAAAAAAAAAAAAUUCUGGUCAAAAACACAUAAGAUCUACCACCUUCACCAUUGUUGUGUCCAGUUCAGUAGUAUUAACUACACUUACAUUGUGAUACAACAAAAGAUUGUGUCUUUUUACAUUCUUAGGACCCAGCACAGUGUCUGGCACAUAAUCUUAGUAAACACUGGCAGAGCACAUGCCUUUGCCAAGGCCAGAACAGAGGUUCAGUGCCAUCCAUUACCACCCUUUCACACAUCCACUGGGGCUUUAAAAACAACCUGGAAUGAAAGCUGUUGAGUCUAGAGAAAUGGGCUACAAAGAAGGUUUACAAGAUAAUCUAUUAAGAAUAGGGAAUACAGGCCGGGCACGGUGGCUCACACCUGUAAUCCCAGCACUUUGGGAGGCUGAGGUGGGUGGAUCAUUUGAGGUCAGGAGUUCGAGACCAGCCUGGCCAAUGUGGUGAAAUCCUGUCUCUACCAAAAAUUAUCCAGGCAUGGUGGUGCGUGCCUGUAGUCCCAGCUACUUGGGAGGCUGAGGCAUGAGCAUCGCUUGAACCCGGGAGGCAGAGGUUGCAGUGAGCCGAGAUCGCGCCACUACACCCCAGCCUGGGUGACAGAGCAAGACUCCGUCUCAAAAAAAUAAAAAAACCUAAAAUAAAGCUUAAUACACAUGACAUAUGGAUUGGCAGUCACACAUAAAUAUGAUUGAUAAGGAUACAAAUAUUUGGAGGUGCUGCCUGACCAUCUGUUGCUGAUUAUGUGGAGAUCACUUGUCUAGGACCCUGAGAUAGACUGAUGUUUCUAACUCUGCCACACACGGUCUCUCCCACCCUCCAGACACUUUCUUCCUUCAGUUCAGGGAACCCUCAAUACACAGUAAGAAUGAAGAGGUUGCAGGUCUGAGCUUGAGGAGGACUGGACUAAAAGGAGUUUAGCCCUGCCAGGGCAUUCCGAGGACUGUGAAGAUCCGGAAUAUUGGCCACAGGCAUCUAUGUAUUUGAAUCAUAUCCAUUUUUGAGCUCACUCCUAGCAGAGGAGUCAAAACUUACGUUCUGGCCCCCAGGUACAUUUCCAGUCUCUUACUCAUAAAAUUGUGACAUACCCCCAGGGGUGCCCAAAGGGGUUUGUGAAUCAAGAUAGUUUGAGGAGAAUCGAUUUUCUGAUCCUCAGUUUUUCUAUGCUCUUUUUCCUAAAAGCGAUAUUCCUAAAAAGGCAUCCAAGACAAGGCAUCCCCUUUCCCAUUUGCUGGGGAAGACAGCUUUACAAGAGAAAGCUGCCCCUCUCACCCAUGUGACCCCCCACUCUGGGGCACUGCCCUAGGGGUAGAAAUCUCCAAGGCAUCAAACAAAGUGACUCCUGGGGGUCAAGUGACAGAGGAGCAAGUCUUUCUGCAAGUCAAGUGGUUUCCAGCUCUGCUUUCAGCAAAAUUGAAAGAGGCACUAAUCAAAUUGCCAGCGGAUCAUAAAAAAACAUUUUGAUAAUAAUGUUAUUAGGCAUAUAACUUGGAAGAAGUUCAAAGAAUUGAAUGGCAUCCUCAUAACAAACUCAUCGGCUUCCAUUUAUUUAUUUAUGUGGACAGUGUUUCUCAAUGUUUAAACCUACAAAAGACUAAACAUGGGAGUAAACUUCAUGUUGAACCUUGUGUGAGUCUAGCAAUAAGUCAUCCACAUAUACAUACACUAAUUGGGAAGAAAACCUGUCCCAACCCCAACUAUUUUAUUAAGAGAUGCAUUUCCAAUAAAAAUUUACCUUUUAUGUUUAAU
rnacentral:lncRNA from 1 species